UGCUAUUUUUGACUAUCUUCUUUUCUUAAUUUAUCUGUCAUUUUUGUUUUACCCCAAUUAAUUCACCCAUUAUUCCAAUCCUUUGCAAUCCCACGUAAUAUUCUCUCUUUAACCCUCUUCUUUCCGUGUCCUUUGCAAUCCCACGUAAUAUUCUCUCUCUAACCCUCUUCUUUCCACCUUCACGGCACAACCAAAUCGUCGACCACACUGGACUUUGAACGACAGAUGGAUGAUCGAAAUACAGAGUUUGACUGGAUGGAUGAGUGACUUGGCAAUACGCGAGUCGGCUGGAUGAUAGAUGAUGAGGAACGAAAGCUUAACGACAGCGGCUAGAGCAACAGACGACCAAUUAAACGAUGAAAGAUUGUGAAGGCAACGGUGGUAGGUUUCACGAAAAAGAAAAGGAGACGAAGAGGAGAGGGUUCACGCAAACCUAUAACUCUCUUUUUUACUCUCAUGUAUGUUUGUUUAUGUAAAUUUGAGAUAUACGAUGGUAUAUGUAUUCAUUUAUUUUAUAUAAUUUAGAGUAUUUUUUAUGUGAUA